AGCGAACGCUGGCGGCAGGCCUAACACAUGCAAGUCGAACGAACUCUUCGGAGUUAGUGGCGGACGGGUGAGUAACACGUGGGAACGUGCCCUUUGGUACGGAAUAACUCAGGGAAACUUGAGCUAAUACCGUAUGUGCCCUUCGGGGGAAAGAUUUAUCGCCAUUGGAGCGGCCCGCGUCUGAUUAGCUAGUUGGUGAGGUAACGGCUCACCAAGGCGACGAUCAGUAGCUGGUCUGAGAGGAUGACCAGCCACAUUGGGACUGAGACACGGCCCAAACUCCUACGGGAGGCAGCAGUGGGGAAUCUUGCGCAAUGGGCGAAAGCCUGACGCAGCCAUGCCGCGUGGAUGAUGAAGGUCUUAGGAUUGUAAAAUCCUUUCACCGGUGAAGAUAAUGACUGUAGCCGGAGAAGAAGCCCCGGCUAACUCCGUGCCAGCCGCCGCUGUAAAAC
rnacentral:rRNA from 1 species